ACCGAGCGGCGGACGGGUUAGUAACGCGUGGGAACGUACCCAGAUCUAAGGAAUAGCCUCGGGAAACUGAGAGUAAUACCUUAUACGCCCUUCGGGGGAAAGAUUUAUCGGAUUUGGAUCGGCCCGCGUUAGAUUGGAUAGUUGGUGGGGUAAUGGCCUACCAAGUCUACGAUCUAUAGCUGGUUUUAGAGGAUGAUCAGCAACACUGGGACUGAGACACGGCCCAGACUCCUACGGGAGGCAGCAGUGGGGAAUCUUAGACAAUGGGCGCAAGCCUGAUCUAGCCAUGCCGCGUGUGUGAUGAAGGCCUUAGGGUCGUAAAGCACUUUCGCCAGAGAUGAUAAUGACAGUAUCUGGUAAAGAAACCCCGGCUAACUCCGUGCCAGCAGCCGCGGUAAUACGGAGGGGGUUAGCGUUGUUCGGAAUUACUGGGCGUAAAGCGUACGUAGGCGGAUUAGUCAGUCAGAGGUGAAAUCCCAGGGCUCAACCCUGGAACUGCCUUUGAUACUGCUAGUCUUGAGUUCGAGAGAGGUGAGUGGAAUUCCAAGUGUAGAGGUGAAAUUCGUAGAUAUUUGGAGGAACACCAGUGGCGAAGGCGGCUCACUGGCUCGAUACUGACGCUGAGGUACGAAAGUGUGGGGAGCAAACAGGAUUAGAUACCCUGGUAGUCCACACCGUAAACGAUGAAUGCCAGUCGUCG
rnacentral:rRNA from 1 species